CCUAAUACAUGCAAGUCGAGCGAACAGAUAAGGAGCUUGCUCCUUUGAAGUUAGCGGCGGACGGGUGAGUAACACGUGGGUAACCUACCUAUAAGACUGGGAUAACUUCGGGAAACCGGAGCUAAUACCGGAUAACAUUUAGAACCGCAUGGUUCUAAAGUGAAAGAUGGUUUUGCUAUCACUUAUAGAUGGACCCGCGCCGUAUUAGCUAGUUGGUAAGGUAACGGCUUACCAAGGCGACGAUACGUAGCCGACCUGAGAGGGUGAUCGGCCACACUGGAACUGAGACACGGUCCAGACUCCUACGGGAGGCAGCAGUAGGGAAUCUUCCGCAAUGGGCGAAAGCCUGACGGAGCAACGCCGCGUGAGUGAUGAAGGGUUUCGGCUCGUAAAACUCUGUUAUUAGGGAAGAACAAAUGUGUAAGUAACUGUGCACAUCUUGACGGUACCUAAUCAGAAAGCCACGGCUAACUACGUGCCAGCAGCCGCGGUAAUACGUAGGUGGCAAGCGUUAUCCGGAAUUAUUGGGCGUAAAGCGCGCGUAGGCGGUUUCUUAAGUCUGAUGUGAAAGCCCACGGCUCAACCGUGGAGGGUCAUUGGAAACUGGGAAACUUGAGUGCAGAAGAGGAAAGUGGAAUUCCAUGUGUAGCGGUGAAAUGCGCAGAGAUAUGGAGGAACACCAGUGGCGAAGGCGACUUUCUGGUCUGUAACUGACGCUGAUGUGCGAAAGCGUGGGGAUCAAACAGGAUUAGAUACCCUGGUAGUCCACGCCGUAAACGAUGAGUGCUAAGUGUUAGGGGGUUUCCGCCCCUUAGUGCUGCAGCUAACGCAUUAAGCACUCCGCCUGGGGAGUACGACCGCAAGGUUGAAACUCAAAGGAAUUGACGGGGACCCGCACAAGCGGUGGAGCAUGUGGUUUAAUUCGAAGCAACGCGAAGAACCUUACCAAAUCUUGACAUCCUUUGAAAACUCUAGAGAUAGAGCCUUCCCCUUCGGGGGACAAAGUGACAGGUGGUGCAUGGUUGUCGUCAGCUCGUGUCGUGAGAUGUUGGGUUAAGUCCCGCAACGAGCGCAACCCUUAAGCUUAGUUGCCAUCAUUAAGUUGGGCACUCUAGGUUGACUGCCGGUGACAACCGGAGAAAGGUGGGGAUGACGUCAAUCAUCAUGCCCCUUAUGAUUUGGGCUACACACGUGCUACAAUGGACAAUACAAAGGGCAGCUAAACCGCGAGGUCAUGCAAAUCCCAUAAAGUUGUUCUCAGUUCGGAUUGUAGUCUGCAACUCGACUACAUGAAGCUGGAAUCGCUAGUAAUCGUAGAUCAGCAUGCUACGGUGAAUACGUUCCCGGGUCUUGUACACACCGCCCGUCACACCACGAGAGUUUGUAACACCCGAAGCCGGUGGAGUAACCAUUUAUGGAGCUAGCCUUCGAAGG
rnacentral:rRNA from 1 species